rnacentral:rRNA from 1 species
UGGGGAAUAUUGCACAAUGGACGCAAGCCUGAUGCAGCCAUGCCGCGUGUAGGAAGAAGGCCUUCGGGUUGUAAAGGACUGUCAGCGGGGAGGAAGGGAGUAAAGUUAAUACCGUUGCUCAUGGACGUUACCCGCAGAAGAAGCACCGGCUAACUCCGGGCCAGCAGCCGCGGGAAUACGGAGGGUGCAAGCGUGAAUCGGAAUUACUGGGCGUAAAGCGUACGCAGGCGGUUUGUUAAGUCAGAUGUGCAAUCCCCGGGCUGAACCUGGGAACUGCAUCUGAUACUGGCAAGCUUGAGUCUCGUAGAGGGAGGUAGAAUUCCAGGUGUAGCGGUGAAAUGCGUAGAGAUCUGGUGGAAUACCGGUGGCGAAGGCGGCCCCCUGGACGAAGACUGACGCUCAGGUGCGAAAGCGUGGGGAGCAAACAGG